GGUGAGGUAACGGCUCACCAAGGCAGCGAUGCGUAGCUGGUCUGAGAGGACGAUCAGCCACACUGGGACUGAGACACGGCCCAGACUCCUACGGGAGGCAGCAGUGGGGAAUCUUGCACAAUGCGCGAAAGCGUGAUGCAGCAACGCCGCGUGCGGGAAGACGGCCUUCGGGUUGUAAACCGCUUUCAGUUGGGACGAAGGUCGAGUGGUUAAUAGCCAUUUCGGCUGACGGUACCUUCACAAGAAGCCCCGGCUAACUACGUGCCAGCAGCCGCGGUAAUACGUAGGGGGCAAGCGUUGUCCGGAAUCAUUGGGCGUAAAGAGCGUGUAGGCGGCCUGAUAGGUCGGUUGUGAAAGUCAAGGGCUCAACCCUUGAAUGCCGACCGAUACUGUCAGGCUAGAGUCCGGAAGAGGCGAGUGGAAUUCCUGGUGUAGCGGUGAAAUGCGCAGAUAUCAGGAGGAACACCUAUGGCGAAGGCAGCUCGCUGGGACGGUACUGACGCUGAGACGCGAAAGCGUGGGGAGCGAACAGGAUUAGAUACCCUGGUAGUCCACGCUGUAAACGAUGGGCACUAGGUGUGGGGGGUGUCGACUCCCUCCGUGCCGAAGCUAACGCAUUAAGUGCCCCGCCUGGGGAGUACGGCCGCAAG
rnacentral:rRNA from 1 species